rnacentral:lncRNA from 1 species
GAGGAAGGGAGGAAGAAAGGGCACAGAAUCAUGAGGCCACUGGGGAGGGCCCUGGGCUGCACCAGGCAGGCUGUCUUUUCCCCUUGGGAAGCUGAUGAACAAGUGUGGAGGCAAUUGGAUUUGUGUUUUGUCGCUUCUCCUCUGGCUAUUUGGGGCAGAAUAGCUUGGAGAAACCCAACAUGGAAAUGGUGGCCGGGGAGACACAAAGUGAGUGGUCGAGAAACAUUUUGGAGGUGAUGCGACAAGAUUUUGAAUUGUGCUGCUGAGAUUUAUAUGAGAGGGGAGUCAGGCCUGACAUCAGCUGCAUGAGUUGGGUGGAUGGGCGGAAGGACAGGGGCGGGGUGUGCUUGCCCCUCUGCUCUGCCCCUGCUGUCAACAUCUGCACCCACCGAAGGGGCAGGGGUGUGGCUGAGUCUCAGUGCUGCCACUAGGACAGCGCUGUGCUGAAGCAAGGCUGGGCCUUGACACCUGCAGAGGAGCCACGCUAGGUUCCACACAGAGGGAGCUGUGUGCGCCUGCACCUCGCAGACCCUCACCCCUCUAAGGAGGGGAGCAGGCUGCAGCAGCUCCUGCUCUAUCCCACUCUCUGUCUCUCUGCAGCGUCCCUGCUCCAAACCAAAGCCCAGGCUCCACUGAUUAGAAAGAGCUGUUUUGGGAGUUCCCAUAGUGUCAAGGCAGAAAUGAAUCUGACUAGGAGCCAUGAGGUUGCAGAUUCAACCUCUGGCCUUGCUCAAUGGGUUAAGGAUCCCGUGUUGCCGUGGGCUGUGGUGUAGAUCACAGAUGCGGCCUGGAUCUAGCGUUGCUGUGCCUCUGGCGUAGGCCGGCAGCUACAGCUCAGAUUGGUCCCCUAGCCUGGGAACCUCCAUAUGCUGUGGGUGCGUCCCUAAAAAAAAAAAAAAAGACCUGUUUUCUGCGCCAGCCUCCUGGGGGGCAGAUGCAAAUGAUCAGCAGGUGGCACGGCAAGCUUAGCUGCCCUCAGAACAGAUCCCUGGCCUAUCUCCUUGGGAGCUUUCUGGGUAGCUCUCAGCCACCAGCAGGGUCAUCCAACCCCUGUCAUCUGGAAGAGGGUACAGAGUCAUAAGGGGAAGGGCCAAUUUGCAUCAGGACCUCCCCAGAGCCAGGAACCCACAGGCAACAGACACUCCAGGGGCCCAGCCUUCUCCCAGAGCCCUGUCCCCAUUUCCAGGGGGACUGACAGAGGCCUCUGAUGAGCCCUGGUGCCAGAGCCCAGUCUGGUCUCCUCAAGAUUCUCAUCUUUACUUUCUUUCCUGCCCCUGCCUUCUGCUCCCCAGAAACGCUCACAUCCCAACACCCCACCUCCUCCUUUUUUUGUUUUUUGUUUUGGCUGCACCACAGCAGUGACCCAAGCCACUGCAGUGACAAUGCCAGAUCCUUAACCUGCUGUGCCACAAGGGAACUCCUGCUUUUGUUUUUUUUAAUUAAAGCUUAUUUGAUUUACAAUAUUAUGUUAGUUUCAAGUAUAGCCAAGUGCCUCAUGUAUAUGUAUAUUCUUUUCUGAUUCUUUUCUAUUGUAGGCUAUUAUAAGAUAUUAAAUAUAGUUCCCUGUGCUAUGUAAUAAAUCCUUGUUGUUUAGUUGAUAUACAGUAGUGUAUAUCCACAAAAAUCAUUUUUGAAAUUCCUACAGCCUGGAGGCUACGUGUUACAUACAGAGUAGGGGCAGCAAACACAGACUAGAGCUGACGGAAAGUGAUUGAAGUCCAAUCUGCUACGGAGUGGCCUUGGGCAAGGAAUUUAACUUCUCGCUGCUUCCUUGAUCAGUGAGGAUAUUAAUACCUCCUUGAGAGUCUCUUGGGAGAAUUAAAUGAAACCCUGUUUGCAAAGCACCUGACCCCGCAUCUGCCGAGCGGUGGAGACAGAGCUAUUAUUCUAGUGUGAUAGGUCUCCCUGGUACCCAGCAGCACACCAGGCAUUCAGCAGGUGCACAGCAAGUACUAGGUGGCUAAAUGGGCUGGAUCUAUGUCUUUAGUUGCUUCACAGGGAUUAUGUGCUAGGGCAUUUCUUCCUCUUUCUCUGGACUUGUCUCCUGUCUGCAGGCCUGGAGAAGCCCAGGCUUGUCUCACAUUUCCUCACAGCCUGAGCCGGCAGAGACACAGCAGCUCAAGGUCAGAGAUGAGUCUAAAAAUGGACUCUGGGCCUUUCUCAAGGGCUGGAGAGCACGUUUCUCACAAAAACUUGCACUCUUCAUCCCACCCUUUUCCUCAUAGGCGUCCCUAAAGCAAGAGCAGGCUUUGGGGCGAACUUGUGCCCCAAAGACAGAUUCUAGAAAUAUUCUUUGAAGGUCUUUGGGGUCCCACAUAAAGCGUGAUGACUGUCUGCAUGGCAUGGGGUCACCAUGACACUUCCCUGAUUGACCCUGUCUUGGGCUCCAGGUCUUGGACCAGCCGUUUUAUAUACACAAGUCUCCCGUCCUAUGUGACAGGUGAGGAAACCGAGGCUUGGUAAGCUUAAGUCACUUGCUCAAGGUCACACUGCUGGUAAGUAGCCGAACCAAGAUGUCACUCUGUUUGACCUGUCCCAGCCCACUCUCCUGCCAUCGGGCCACUUCCUGUUGUAAUGGGUGAGCGCUGGCCUAGGAUCCUCCGAGAGAAUCCAGCAUUGAGCCAGUGAGGGAUGCGUCCCCUGAAACCUCAGCUGCAUCCCUUUUUAAAUGGGGGAGGGGAAAGGCCACCCUCCUUGUUCCCCAGGUGAGGGUUUUGGGGUGGGGGCAGGAAGAG